rnacentral:lncRNA from 1 species
AUGGAGGGGGCCUGGGGGAAAGGGGAGGAAGCCUUCCCAGCACAGCAGCUCAGGGUGUGUCAGGCCCCACCCCCAGAGGCGGGGCCAGGCUGGGUCCCACCAGCCUCAGCUCCAUCCCAGGCGAAGGCAGAGCCAGGGCAGCAGAGAGCUGGGGGCCCUGCUGUCUCCACACAGUGGAGGUACCAUGACCUCAAAGGUCAGGACACCAGACGUCACCAGAAGCCGUGCAGCGCUGGCUGGGACAACUCUCUGACACUCGGAGGGGAGCCCAGGCUGGGCAAGCCACACUUGUCACCUACAGUCAUGUGGGGUGGGAGACUCACUCCCAGCGAAGAGCUCCAGCCCGUGACUCCAGAGUCCAGUUCCCGGGAAAGGCCCCGUUGCUAGCUGCUAGCCUGGUGCGGACGUCAAGUUUAUGGGCUGGAAGUCCUACCCGGAGGCUGCUCACUGAAGUGUAACCAACCACAAGGCGGAUGGAAGGGAGGUGCUGGGGACAGGGCAACCCCUUGGUGCU